rnacentral:rRNA from 1 species
AGCGAACGCUGGCGGCAGGCCUAACACAUGCAAGUCGAACGAAGCCUUCGGGCUUAGUGGCGGACGGGUGAGUAACACGUGGGAACGUACCUUUUGGUUCGGAAUAACGCAGAGAAAUUUGCGCUAAUACCGAAUGAGCCCUUAGGGGGAAAGAUCUAUCGCCGAAAGAUCGGCCCGCGUUGGAUUAGGUAGUUGGUGUGGUAAAGGCGCACCAAGCCUACGAUCCAUAGCUGGUCUGAGAGGAUGAUCAGCCACACUGGGACUGAGACACGGCCCAGACUCCUACGGGAGGCAGCAGUGGGGAAUCUUGCGCAAUGGGCGAAAGCCUGACGCAGCCAUGCCGCGUGAAUGAUGAAGGUCUUAGGAUUGUAAAAUUCUUUUACCAGGGACGAUAAUGACGGUACCUGGAGAAAAAGCCCCGGCUAACUUCGUGCCAGCCGCCGCAGUAAAAC